GAUGAAGAACGUAGCGAAAUGCGAUACGUAAUGUGAAUUGCAGAAUUCAGUGAAUCAUCGAAUCUUUGAACGCAUAUUGCGCUCUUUGGUAUUCCGAAGAGCAUGCUUGUUUGAGUAUCAGUAAACACCUCAAAGCUUUUGGAUUUUUUAAUCGAAAAGCUUUGGACUUGAGCAAUCCCAACACCAAUCUUUUUGAGAUCGGUGGCGGGUUGCUUGAAAUGCAGGUGCAGCUGGACAUUCUCCUGAGCUAAAAGCAUAUUCAUUUAGUCCCGUCAAACGGAUUAUUACUUUUGCUGCAGCUAACAUAAAGGGAGUUUGACCGUAUUGGCUGACUGAUGCAGGAUUUCACUAGGGUCGGCAACGAUUCUUGUUAAACUCGAUCUCAAAUCAAGUAAGACUACCCGCUGAACUUAAGCAUAUCAAUAAGCGGAGGA
rnacentral:misc_RNA from 1 species